GACGAACGCUGGCGGCGUGCUUAACACAUGCAAGUCGAACGGAAAGGCCCUGCUUUUGUGGGGUUCUCGAGUGGCGAACGGGUGAGUAACACGUGAGUAACCUGCCCUUGACUUUGGGAUAACUUCAGGAAACUGGGGCUAAUACCGGAUAGGAGCUCCUGCUGCAUGGUGGGGGUUGGAAAGUUUCGGCGGUUGGGGAUGGACUCGCGGCUUAUCAGCUUGUUGGUGGGGUAGUGGCUUACCAAGGCUUUGACGGGUAGCCGGCCUGAGAGGGUGACCGGCCACAUGGGGACUGAGAGACGGCGCAGACUCCUACGGGAGGCAGCAGUGGGGAAUAUGACACAAUGGGCGGAAGCCUGAUGCAGCAACGCCGCGUGCGGGAUGACGGCCUUCGGGUUGUAAACCGCUUUCGCCUGUGACGAGGCGUGAGUGACGGUAAUGGGUAAAGAAGCCCCGGCUAACUACGUG
rnacentral:rRNA from 1 species